GCGCCACAGCUAAUCCCAUUAAAAUAUAAGGUCUAUCCAUCUGUCUACCCCAAAGAAUGACAUCUCCAAAUCAGGACAAGACUUGUAAAUCUAGGAAGAUGAACUAUUACAUACAUUUAUAGUCAAAACAUCAUCUGAAUGUUGAAUUGAUUAGAGACUAGUAUUCUACUACCAGAAAGGUAAGAAGUACCAGUAGCUGGUUGCCGCUAAUCCUUCAAAGAAUGCUAGAUGCCCUCCAUGCUGUGGUGUAGCCAACACAAUGUUUGGAUUUGCUCUCUGAAAUGGUCAAAAGAGAAUUCAAAUCUCAGAAUAACACGGAAGUGGGUUGUUAAGGACACAAGUUAUUUCAGUAUCAUAGAAGAGGAUCCUCCUGCAUUCAUCCCAUUGAAUGGCUUCUCCAGUGCAGAUUGGAUCAUCCAGAGCACUAAUGCAUAGUCGUGGCACCGAUACAUUCCCCAACAUAGUAGUCUGAAAAAUAUAUGAUACUUUUGGAUGCUUAGAAGACAAGCGAGAGAGAAGGAAGAGAUGCAAAUGUCAGUUACUAACACCUCAAAUUUUCCAGUAAGGCAGGUUGCAUAGUUGUAAUGAUCCCAGAAAGCAUUAGGAGAAAUAUUAUACACAAAUUUAUGAUGUAAA
rnacentral:lncRNA from 1 species